UGCUGAUAUGUUGCCUAAAAAAGACAGUGAACAGUUAAAAAGAAAAGAAAAGGAAUGUGGGAAAGAAGUUGAAACAACAACUCAAACAGACUCUGAAAUCACUGGUCACAGAAUUGAGGACAUUAGGAAAGAAUUUGGAUCAGGUUGUGCAGAAGCGAAGCGAUACCCACAAGCAACUUUCUGAAGAGCAGAAUGCCAGAAUAUUACAAGAUGAGAUUCUGACCAAAGUAACUGCAAUUUGAUGGAGGGAGGACUAGAAGUAGAAUCAGAAGACCUGGGGAAAAUCCUGCAUCUUGCAUAUAUUUCAGUCUCUCCUCUUCAGAAUUGCGACCUUAAAUGAGUUCAGUAAUGUAUGUAAAAGUGCAAUGCUUAGAUGUAGAAGUGUAAAAUGUAGAAAUGUACAAUGC
rnacentral:lncRNA from 1 species